GAUGAAGAACGUAGUGAAAUGCGAUACGUAGUGUGAAUUGCAGAAUUCAGUGAAUCAUCGAAUCUUUGAACGCACAUUGCGCCCUUUGGUAUUCCAAAGGGCAUGCCUGUUCGAGCGUCAUUUGUACCCUCAAGCUUUGCUUGGUGUUGGGCGUCUUGUCUCCAGUCCGCUGGAGACUCGCCUUAAGUCAUUGGCAGCCGGCCUACUGGUUUCGGAGCGCAGCACAAGUCGCACUCUUUUCCAGCCAAGGUCAGUGUCCAACAAGCCUUUUUUCAACUUUUGACCUCGGAUCAGGUAGGGAUACCCGCUGAACUUAAGCAUAUCAAUAAGCGGAGGA
rnacentral:misc_RNA from 1 species